UACGUAGGGUCCGAGCGUUUGUCCGGAAUUAUUGGGCGUAAAAGGGCUCGUAGGCGGUCUGUUGCGUCGGGAGUGAAAACUUACAGCUUAACUGUGAGCGUGCUUCCGAUACGGGCAGACUGGAGUACUGCAGGGGAGACUGGAAUUCCUGGUGUAGCGGUGGAAUGCGCAGAUAUCAGGAGGAACACCGGUGGCGAAGGCGGGCUCUGGGCAGUAACUGACGCUGAGGAGCGAAAGCGUGGGGAGCGAACAGG
rnacentral:rRNA from 1 species